rnacentral:rRNA from 1 species
CCUACGGGAGGCAGCAGUAAGGAAUAUUGGACAAUGGUCGCAAGACUGAUCCAGCCAUGCCGCGUGCAGGAUGACAGCCCUAUGGGUCGUAAACUGCUUUUGUGCGAGAAAAAACCCCCUCUACGUGUAGAGGGCGUGAUUGUAUCGUAAGAAUAAGGAUCGGCUAACUCCGUGCCAGCAGCCGCGGUAAUACGGAGGAUCCAAGCGUUAUCCGGAUUCAUUGGGUUUAAAGGGGUUAGCGUAGGCGGAAUGAUAAGUCAGUGGUGAAAGCCUGC